rnacentral:rRNA from 1 species
CCUACGGGUGGCAGCAGUGGGGGAUAUUGGUCAAUGGGGGAAACCCUGAACCAGCAACGCCGCGUGAGGGAAGACGGCCUUCGGUUUGUAAACCUAAGUGAUCAGGGAUGAAACAAAGGACAGUACCUGACAAGCAAACUCCGCCUAACUACGUGCCAGCAGCCGCUGUAAUACGUAGGGAGCAAGCGUUGUCCGGAUUCGCUGGGUGUACGGGGUGCUUAGGCGGGAACACAAGUCAGGCGUGAAAUCCCGGGGCCCAACCCCGGGGCUGCGCUUGAAACUGUGGUUCUUGAGUGAAGUAGAGGCAGGCGGAAUUCCUAGUGUAGCGGUGGAAUGCUUAGAUAUUAGGAGGAACACCGGUGGCGAAGGCGGCCUGCUGGGCUUUAACUGACGCUGAUGCACGAAAGCAUGGGGAGCAAACAGGAUUAGAUACCCUUGUAGUC